rnacentral:rRNA from 1 species
CCUACGGGAGGCAGCAGUGGGGAAUAUUGCACAAUGGGGGCAACCCUGAUCUAGCCAUGCCGCGUGAGUGAUGAAGGCCUUAGGGUUGUAAAGCUCUUUCAGCUGGGAAGAUAAUGACGGUACCAGCAGAAGAAGCCCCGGCUAACUCCGUGCCAGCAGCCGCGGU